rnacentral:rRNA from 1 species
UAGGGAAUCUUCCGCAAUGGGCGAAAGCCUAACGGAGCAACGCCGCGUGAGUGAUGAAGGUCUUCGGAUCGUAAAACUCUGUUAUUAGGGAAGAACAAAUGUGUAAGUAACUAUGCACAUCUUGACGGUACCUAAUCAGAAAGCCACGGCUAACUACGUGCCAGCAGCCGCGGUAAUACGUAGGUGGCAAGCGUUAUCCGGAAUUAUUGGGCGUAAAGCGCGCGUAGGCGGUUUUUUAAGUCUGAUGUGAAAGCCCACGGCUCAACCGUGGAGGGUCAUUGGAAACUGGAAAACUUGAGUGCAGAAGAGGAAAGUGGAAUUUCAUGUGUAGCGGUGAAAUGCGCAGAGAUAUGGAGGAACACCAGUGGCGAAGGCGACUUUCUGGUCUGUAACUGACGCUGAUGUGCGAAAGCGUGGGGAUCAAACAGG